CUGAAUUAAGGGAAUUUUGCUUUGCCAAACAUUAGUGAUACAAUCAUAUAAAUCAAAUUCUCUCAAACAAAUCAACGGACCAAAUAGCCUUCCAUGUAUAACAUUUUUAUGCCAUCACCGAGACCUUCACAGCUUCACGUCACCCACUGAGUGUCCCACGCAAGGAACACUGAACAGUGGGAAGACAGAUCAAAACCCGGGCGCGUUGGCGGCCGUACACCGGAAUUAAUAAACUGACGACACGUCCGGGAGUUGGCAGCUUCAUCUUCCGCAGGGUUGGGUCACAAAAAUUCAACAGACCACCGAGAAGGAGAGAGUAGGAAUCACCGUGAGGUAUCCGAUCAAUCUAUCUUUCACUGCUCAGACACACAUGCAUGCACGAAUAUAUAACUGGACGACUUUUUUAUUUUUUAUUUUUAGAAUAAAUUAAGCUAAUUUGAUGUAGUUUUGAUGAUCAAUCAUUUUAAUUUUCUGAUCAGAGGGAGUGUUGAUAAGAAAAGACCAAGUUCUGUCUUCCUGAAUUAAAUUGUAAAGAGAUGGACUUGGUGACUAUUUGCAAGGUAUAUUUAGUUUAAUUUCUUAAUG
rnacentral:lncRNA from 1 species